rnacentral:rRNA from 1 species
AUGGAGGUGGACUGCCUGGAGAUGGUUAAUCUCUGGAAUACUCGCCACAACUCUCGUUCGAUUGUGGAUCCUAUCUUAGUUGAAAUUGGAGAGCUUGUUAGUGAUUUCUCUCUUUUUGUAAUCCAACAUGUAUUAAGGUCAGCAAACGUUCCAGCGCAUCUAUGUGCCAAGCGUGCUUGCACAUUGAAUGUGACGGAAAGCUGGCUCGAAGACAACCCCGGCUUCCUCCUGACCAGCUUAUUGGCUGAUUGUCGGGAGAAUGCCUUCGUUUGA